rnacentral:misc_RNA from 1 species
GAUGAAGAACGUAGUGAACGUGCGAAACGUAAUGUGAAUUGCAGAAUUCAGUGAAUCAUCGAAUCUUUGAACGCAUCUUGCGCUCCUUGGUAUUCCGAGGAGCAUGCCUGUUUGAGUGUCGUGAAAUACUCUCAAUUUCAAUCUUUUUGUUUGAAAUUGGAUUUGGAUGUUGUUGUGGAUCUUGCUACGACUCAUCCUAAAUGCAUUAGCGAUCUGCCUUGAUCACACACAAUGUGAUAAGAUGAGCAUUGUUAUAAUCAAGUCAUGACUGCUUCUAACCGUCCCUUUGGGACAAACGUCUUAUGUCGUUUGACCUCAAAUCAGGUAGGACUACCCGCUGAACUUAAGCAUAUCAAUAAGCGGAGGA